rnacentral:rRNA from 1 species
UACGUAGGGUGCGAGCGUUGUCCGGAAUUAUUGGGCGUAAAGAGCUCGUAGGCGGUGUGUCACGUCGGCCGUGAAAACCUGCAGCUUAACUGUGGGCGUGCGGUCGAUACGGGCAUCACUGGAGUUCGGCAGGGGAGUCUGGAAUUCCUGGUGUAGCGGUGAAAUGCGCAGAUAUCAGGAGGAACACCGGUGGCGAAGGCGGGGUCUCUGGGCCGGAUAUCGACGCUGGAGGAGCG